UUUCUGCAAAGGAUAUACUAUUACAUAUGUGGGCCUAACAUUUUUCCACCCAUUUGAUCUCUUGAAUCAGCUAUCUCUAAGUUCCUAUCAUUUACAGAUAAAUAUUGACAGUGAAGUCAGCAAAUAAGAAAUGGCUGAUUUCUCCAUCCUUGAUGCAAUGGAGCUGAGCAUCGGUUUGAAGCUACUGAUACAAGCAAAGCAUUCUGGAGUUGUGUGCUUACACCUCGGCUAAGUAGCGAAAUGAUGUACUUCAUGAACACUGCAUCACACGCUGUGUAGAUAACAAAAUGGCCUGCCAAUGAUGUACUGCAACUAUCUACUUCCUCAUCCGGUUUUGGAAACGAUAUCGUUUUCCUUCUGAUCAUGACAAAUUUCUGCCAUUUCUUCGCCAUGUUGAUGAGUUUCUUGGAACUGAUCAUAGUGGCGGCUUCAGGAGAUCGAGAGAAAAGAAGAGAUAUGAGAUGAAUUGCUAGUGUUUGAUUAUGAAACUCAUAUGCAAGUGAUGUAUAUAUUUAUAUGGAGGAUGUCCAAGACAGACUUUUCUGUGGAGGAUAGAAUUUCUUGUUAACAAAUCAGGGAAUUGAAGGCAUACCCAUAUGCUACUUAGGGAAAUGGGGCCUUUAUGUUGUGUACCAACCGAUAUAUAUAGUUGUGAUAUAUAUUCAAUGUAUCAACUU